rnacentral:rRNA from 1 species
GACGAACGCUGGCGGCGUGCUUAACACAUGCAAGUCGAACGGAAAGGCCCUGCUUUUGUGGGGUGCUCGAGUGGCGAACGGGUGAGUAACACGUGAGUAACCUGCCCUUGACUUUGGGAUAACUUCAGGAAACUGGGGCUAAUACCGGAUAGGAGCUCCUGCUGCAUGGUGGGGGUUGGAAAGUUUCGGCGGUUGGGGAUGGACUCGCGGCUUAUCAGCUUGUUGGUGGGGUAGUGGCUUACCAAGGCUUUGACGGGUAGCCGGCCUGAGAGGGUGACCGGCCACAUGGGGACUGAGAUACGGCCCAGACUCCUACGGGAGGCAGCAGUGGGGAAUAUUGCACAAUGGGCGGAAGCCUGAUGCAGCAACGCCGCGUGCGGGAUGACGGCCUUCGGGUUGUAAACCGCUUUCGCCUGUUACGAAGCGUGAGUGACGGUAAUGGGUAAAGAAGCACCGGCUAACUACGUG